GAUGAAGAACGUAGCGAAAUGCGAUAAGUAAUGUGAAUUGCAGAAAUCAGUGAAUCAUCGAAUCUUUGAACGCACAUUGCGCCCCCUGGUAUUCCGGGGGGCAUGCCUGUCCGAGCGUCAUUACAACCCUCAAGCUCAGCUUGGUGUUGGGCCCCGCCGCCCCGGCGGGCCCUAAAGUCAGUGGCGGUGCCGUCCGGCUCCGAGCGUAGUAAUUCUUCUCGCUCUGGAGGUCCGGUCGUGUGCUCGCCAGCAACCCCCAAUUUUUUUCAGGUUGACCUCGGAUCAGGUAGGGAUACCCGCUGAACUUAAGCAUAUCAAUAAGCGGAGGA
rnacentral:misc_RNA from 1 species